GUGGGGAAUUUUGGACAAUGGGCGCAAGCCUGAUCCAGCAAUGCCGCGUGCAGGAAGAAGGCCUUCGGGUUGUAAACUGCUUUUGUACGGAACGAAAAGGUUCUCUCUAAUACAGGGGGCUGAUGACGGUACCGUAAGAAUAAGCACCGGCUAACUACGUGCCAGCAGCCGCGGUAAUACGUAGGGUGCAAGCGUUAAUCGGAAUUACUGGGCGUAAAGCGUGCGCAGGCGGUGAUGUAAGACAGAUGUGAAAUCCCCGGGCUCAACCUGGGAACUGCAUUUGUGACUGCAUUGAUGGAGUGCGGCAGAGGGGGAUGGAAUUCCGCGUGUAGCAGUGAAAUGCGUAGAUAUGCGGAGGAACACCGAUGGCGAAGGCAAUCCCCUGGGCCUGCACUGACGCUCAUGCACGAAAGCGUGGGGAGCAAACAGGAUUAGAUACCCCGGUAGUCC
rnacentral:rRNA from 1 species